UCCAUAAAAUAUCCCGAACUUUCAUUCUCCUAAGAAAUCCCAAAUUUUUAGUUUUUUCUAAUAAAUGUUCCGCUAUACAAAAUUUGAUGAUGGAAAGAUGACGUUAACCUCGAACUUUCAAUAUUUUUUCAACAAUGAUGAUUUCUAAUAUGGUUUUCCAACAAUGACGAUCCCCAAAAUAUUGCAUUCGGCGAUAUAAGUCAUCUUUCCGUCACUGAAUUUUCUUUUAGAGGGUAGGAUUGUGACAGCUCGAAACCAAAUAAUUAUCUAUUUUACGGUAUUUAUAUAUAUAUAUAUAUAUAUAUAUAUAUAUAUAUAUAUAUAUAGGGUGCAGUUAUUCCACAAACCCCUCUUAGAAUAUAACUUAAGAACUAAUCUUAACCUUAGAUCUAUACUUAAUUAACGACUGAGAUUAAGGUUUAAACAAUAUCAGAUUAUUCAUUAUGUUUUAUUAGUUGAUUCACGCGAAUAGUAUAGAAAGGGUAAUUUUGGAAUGACAUGUUGACUUGUCCGAUUAAUAUGCCUAAUUAAUUUAGAGAAUAGAUUUGAUUUGAUUGAAAUGAUAUACCAAAGAUAUGAAUAGCGUGAAUUAGUGAGAAGAAAGGUUUGAAAAUAUGACUUCCAAUUAAAUGCACCCAACUAAAAAAAGUUAAACCCUAUUACUAUUUUCAAUAUCUAUUGUUCUUGGCAAGGAGAUUUCUUGAGGCGGCGUGAACUGAGUUUGAUCAUAUUUCCGGUCUUCUUAAAUCCAUUUUCCGGCGAUGGCACGAACCAAGGGCGACGGUCAGAGCGAGAUUUUUCUAGAAUGGUGGUGGAUGGUUCAACAGAAAUUGAACCAAGGGCGGCGGUCAGAGCGAGAUUUUUCUAGAAUGGUGGUGGAUGGUUCAACAGAGAUUUUUCAGAGAUUUUUCUAGAAUGUAGGGGGCAUCUGUACUCGGUGUGGAGGACAAUACAGGUGCUGGAAGUUCGGGUGUAGCCACGGGUGAUACGCAUGUUCAGGGGAUCCUUGAACCGAAUAGCGUUGACGGUGGUGGCCAAUCAAAUGUACAGCAUGCUCAGGGGAUAACUGCCUCAAAAAGUGUAGAUGGUGGUGGCCCAUCCAAUGUUCAGAUUGGGUGCGUCAACGAUGUGAACAUGGCUGAAGAAGUAUAUACGAGGACUGGUGUGAAGACAAACAUAACAAAUUUUGGGAAAGAGAAUCCGAUAUUUGAAAAUAUCAAUAACGUGGUAAAACGACUCCGUCGUGGUAGAAUUUGAGAUUAUUCGAUAUGGUUGUAAUACAUGAUAUCUUAAUCAGGACUUGGGUGUGUGCAUUGGGGCAAAAACAGGAAGGCGUACAAUAUUGAAGCCCCUGGUAGAAAAUGUAUGCAUGGCUAUUCAAAAUAUUUUGUGUGGUACUGUUGAUGGAAUGUUUAAGAUAAUAUUUUGUUUCUAUAAUUACAUGUGAAUUUUGAAUGAUAAACUAAGAAUUGUUGGGUAUAUUGAUGCACAUUUAGGUGGUUUCAUUCGAAACGCCUAUAUUGGCAAAUAGAUGCAGGGGG